rnacentral:rRNA from 1 species
CUGAUGGAGCAACGCCGCGUGAGCGAAGAAGGUUUUCGGAUCGUAAAGCUCUGUUGCGAGGGAAGAACAAGUACGGGAGUAACUGCCCGUACCUUGACGGUACCUCGUCAGAAAGCCACGGCUAACUACGUGCCAGCAGCCGCGGUAAUACGUAGGUGGCAAGCGUUGUCCGGAAUUAUUGGGCGUAAAGCGCGCGCAGGCGGUCCUUUAAGUCUGAUGUGAAAGCCCACGGCUCAACCGUGGAGGGUCAUUGGAAACUGGAGGACUUGAGUACAGAAGAGGAAAGCGGAAUUCCACGUGUAGCGGUGAAAUGCGUAGAGAUGUGGAGGAACACCAGUGGCGAAGGCGGCUUUCUGGUCUGUAACUGACGCUGAGGCGCGAAAGCGUGGGGAGCAAACAGGAUUAGAUACCCUGGUAGUCCACGCCGUAAACGAUGAGUGCUAAGUGUUAGGGGGUUUCCGCCCCUUAGUGCUGCAGCUAACGCAUUAAGCACUCCGCCUGGGGAGUACGGCCGCAAGGCUGAAACUCAAAGGAAUUGACGGA